GACGGAGGAUGCAAGUGUUAUCCGGAAUCACUGGGCGUAAAGCGUCUGUAGGUGGUCAAAUAAGUCAACUGUUAAAUCUUGAGGCUUAACCUCAAAAUCGCAGUCGAAACUAUUAGACUAGAGUAUAGUAGGGGUAAAGGGAAUUUCCAGUGGAGCGGUGAAAUGCGUAGAGAUUGGAAAGAACACCGAUGGCGAAGGCACUUUACUGGGCUAUUACUAACACUCAGAGACGGAAAGCUAGGGUAGCAAAUGGGAGUUAGAAAUCC
rnacentral:rRNA from 1 species